rnacentral:rRNA from 1 species
GACGAACGCUGGCGGCGUGCCUAAUACAUGCAAGUCGAACGCAGUGGGGACGGGUGAGUAACACGUGGGUAACCUCCCAUCAGAGGGGAUAACACUUGGAAACAGGUGCUAAACCGAUAUUGAUUGAUGGACCCGCGGUGUAUUAGCUAGUUGGUGAGGUAACGGCUCACCAAGGCCACGAUGCAUAGCGGGCCUGAUAGGAUGAUCAGCCACACUGGGACUGAGACACGGCCCAGACUCCUACGGGAGGCAGCAGUAGGGAAUCUUGGGCAAUGGACGAAAGUCUGACCUAGCAACGCCGCGUGAGUGAAGAAGGUUUGCGGUUCGUAAAACUCUGUUGUUGGAGAAGCGGUAUCUAACCAGAAAGCCACGGCUAACUACGUGCCAGCCGCCGCGGUAAUAC